UUAGGGUAGUAUAUAUCUAGUAUACUUUGCUUACACCAAAGAGGUGGUUCGUAACCCCCUAAC
rnacentral:tRNA from 1 species